UACGUAGGGGGCAAGCGUUGUCCGGAAUCAUUGGGCGUAAAGAGCGUGUAGGCGGCCUGAUAAGUCGGUUGUGAAAGUCAAGGGCUCAACCCUUGAAUGCCGACCGAUACUGUCAGGCUAGAGUCCGGAAGAGGCGAGUGGAAUUCCUGGUGUAGCGGUGAAAUGCGCAGAUAUCAGGAGGAACACCAAUGGCGAAGGCAGCUCGCUGGGACGUCACUGACGCUGAGACGCGAAAGCGUGGGGAGCAAACAGG
rnacentral:rRNA from 1 species